rnacentral:rRNA from 1 species
UCUUAAAGCUGUUCUCAGUUCGGACUGCAGUCUGCAACUCGACUGCACGAAGCUGGAAUCGCUAGUAAUCGCGGAUCAGCACGCCGCGGUGAAUACGUUCCCGGGCCUUGUACACACCGCCCGUCACACCAUGGAAGUCUGCAAUGCCCGAAGCCGGUGGCCUAACCACUUAUGUGGAAGGAGCCGUCUAAGGCAGGGCAGAUGACUGGGGUGAAGUCGUAACAAGGUAGC